rnacentral:rRNA from 1 species
AUUGAACGCUAGCGGGAUGCUUUACACAUGCAAGUCGAACGGAGUGGCGGACGGGUGAGUAAUAUAUCGGAAAGUGCCCAGUAGCGGGGGGUAACUACUCGAAAGAGUGGCUAAUACCGCAUACUAUUUGAGCGGCCGAUCGCGGAUUAGCUAGUUGGGGGGGUAAAGGCUCACCAAGGGAACGAUCCGUAGCUGGUGUGAGAGGACAACCAGCCACACGGGGCCUGAGACACGGCCCAGAUCCCUACGGGGGGCAGCAGGGGGGAAUUGUGGACAAUGGGGGAAACCCUGCGGCAGACAUCCCGGGUGUAUGUUGAAGGCCUUCGGGUUGUAAGGUAUUUUUGGCAGAUCAGCGGUAUCUGCAGAAGAAGCACCGGCUAACUCCGUGCCAGCCGCCGCGGUAAUUC